rnacentral:rRNA from 1 species
AUUGAACGCUGGCGGCAGGCCUAACACAUGCAAGUCGAGCGGAGUGGCGAACGGGUGAGUAACACGUGGGUGACCUGCCCUGCACUUCGGGAUAAGCCUGGGAAACUGGGUCUAAUACCGGCUAGUGUGGGAUGGGCGCGCGGCCUAUCAGCUUGGUGGUGGGGUAAGGGCCUACCAAGGCGGCGAAGGGUAGCCGGCCUGCGAGGGUGGACGGCCACAUUGGGACUGAGACACGGACCAGACUCCUACGGGAGGCAGCAGUGGGGAAUAUUGCACAGUAGGCGGAAGCCUGUUGCAGCGACGCCGCGUGGGGGAUGACGGCCUUCGGGUUGUAAACUCCGUGGACCGUCAACGCGGUGGAUAGAAAGAAAGCACCGGCUAACUACGUGCCAGCAGCCGCGGUAAUUC